rnacentral:rRNA from 1 species
CCUACGGGAGGCAGCAGUAGGGAAUAUUGCACAAUGGAGGAAACUCUGAUGCAGCGACGCCGCGUGAGUGACGAAGGACUUCGGUUCGUAAAGCUCUGUUGCACGGGAAUAUGUACCGUGUGAGGAAGGGUCGGCUAACUUCGUGCCAGCAGCCGCGGUAAGACGAGGGACCCUAGCGUUGUUCGGAAUCAUUGGGCGUAAAGCGGAGGUAGGUGGCUUGGUAAGUCGAGUGUGAAAGCCCAGGGCUCAACCCUGGAAGUGCAUUCGAAACUGCUGAGCUUGAGUGCUAGAGAGGUUACUAGAAUGCCUGGUGUAGUGGUGAAAUACGUAGAUAUCAGGCGGAAUACCGGAGGCGAAGGCGGGUAACUGGCUAGAACUGACACUCAAUUCCGAAAGCGUGGGGAUCAAACAGGAUUAGAUACCCUUGUAGUC